rnacentral:rRNA from 1 species
UACGUAGGGCGCAAGCGUUGUCCGGAAUUAUUGGGCGUAAAGAGCUCGUAGGCGGUUUGUCGCGUCUGUCGUGAAAGCUUGGGGCUUAACCCUAAGUCUGCGGUGGAUACGGGCAGACUAGAGGCAGGUAGGGGAGAACGGAAUUCCCGGUGUAGCGGUGAAAUGCGCAGAUAUCGGGAGGAACACCGGUGGCGAAGGCGGUUCUCUGGGCCUGUACUGACGCUGAGGCGCGAAAGCGUGGGGAGCAAACAGG